GCUGCCGGGCCCCGGGCGGCGGUUGGCUCCGCAUCGGGUCCGCGGCCGCCGAGUUGGGCUGCACCGUCCCGGGCCGGGCCCCGAGGGUGGCGGGGGAGCGAGCGCUGAGGCGGCUGGCUCGCACGAGAGGUGAGUGAUCCGCAAUUAGUACCUGAACCGCCAACCAGGUUUUUGUCACCUCCUCCCGUUAAAUAAGCCGCAGGACGAAUUCUACGACCAGGCUUCACCAGACAAGAGGACUGAAGCUGAUGGCAACUCGGACCCCAACUCGGAUGGGCCUCUUGGUCCACGAGGAUUAGCUGAAGCUACAGAGAUGUGUACUCAAGAAUGCCUGGUUUUGGGUCACUCAGACAACUGUUGGAUGCCUCCCAGCCUGGGCCCAUACCAACAGCCAAAGUCUCCUCUCUCCACCUUUGCACCUCAGAAAGAAUGGGUUAAGAAGGACAAACUAGUUAAUGGACACACAUUGACCAGGACCUGGAAAGAAGAUAGCAACAGAAACCAGUUCAGUGACCGAAAGCAGUAUGGUUCCAGUGAGGGCCAUUUCAACACUGGCAACCACAUGACUGACAUUCCUCUGGCCAACUUGAAGUCUUAUAAACAGGCCUCAGGAGCUGUUGAGAGUCCAAAGGAGCACCAGCUAUAAGAAAUGGUUACUCUGGACCAAUGACUUUAGCCUACUUAGACUUGCUAAUACUAUGUGUGUGUCAGAGCUUUAUGUACUGGGUAGGCCUCUAGAACUAUGCUUCACCUAGCAGAGAUAUGCAUAUCUUUAUGUUAGCGUCGUGGAAGGUAUGAUGUCCUGCAAGAUGGAAGAGUGUUUCUACUAGUUGUGUGGUUUUGUUAAAUAGACAUGAUUAAAAUCUGCAGAAAUCUCUCCAGUUUGCAAAUAGCCUUUUUGUUUGUUUGUUUGAUUUUUGACCCUGGACUGCUGCUAUGAACAACAGAAGAUGCAUUUGGAGAGUGAGAGUGCGAGAAAGUUCAGUGGAUUGCAAUGAUUGAAAAGCAUAUCCAGUUAGAAAAUUGUGCUUUUGUUCUCAUUGAUCUAUGCUGGGACCGUUAUACUUGAGAUAAUAUUGCAAACAAAGCAAAUGAAACUGUAAACAUUAAACCUGUUGUGCUAUUAACAAUGUUAGGGGACACUUAUAAGUCCAUCAGUGUUCAAAUAGUUGUAAAUAGAAAGUUAUUACUUACAAUUUUUGUGUACUUAUAACGUUCACUUGAAAAGAUAUACUGUAGCAUAUUUCUGUGUUUCACAGUUGCUUUUUACUUUCUUUCAUUUGCUUCCUGUUGUUUUGCUUUUAUUUUCAGUGAUGGUGUUUCUGUGUUAGUAGUCUGUCUGACACACAAUGUUCCAAGGAACUCUAAACACUUGUGUUAAACCUGAAAAAAAGGAGUGAUGGGGUGGGAGGGAAGGUUGGUUGUAGAAAGGGAAAAAAAAAAAGAUUUUUCUUUCUAUGUAGGAGCAAAUGGUGCCAGCAUUCAGGUAGAAUUUCUUCUUCUUCCUUUCUUCUUUUUCUUUUUCUUUUUUUUUUUUUCCCCCCAUUUAUUAAUUUUAGUAUUAAGAAAUGAAAGGACUUGUGUAAGGGCUUGCUUAAAAAUUUAACAUUUUUUUUAAACUUCCAUAGCGUUUCAUAAAACAGGGAAACUGCAAAACAAAAGGAUAAUAUUUAAAUUUGUGGUGGUGGGUGAGAGAGGGAAAGCUGUUAGUUUGGAAUCCUUGAUCAUACUAGCUGCAGUCUGUCAUUUAAUGAGUGAUAGCUGACAUUGAUCUCAGCUCUAAUAUAUGGAGGAAAUUCUACAGGAGCAAAAUACAGUAAUCAUAUUUUUCCAAUUGGACAGGUGUGUGUCUAUACCUAAGACAGUUUGUAUUGCUGAACCAGCAGCAUUUGUGUUAAUCUUCAUCUGCGUUAACGUUGUAGUAACACAAGUGUUUUUAGACCAUAGCCACAGAAUAUUUAAUGUGUUGUGCCUUCAUGAUGUAACAGAGCAUUCUCCUGGUAGGCUAGUUGGGGGAAGUAAAGGGUUAAAUCUCUAAUUAUUGCUGUUUAACUGUUUGUUAUCAUAGUUGGUCAUUGCCUGGCAGGUACCAAUAUCAUGUCACCUCAGUCAAACCAGCAGAGUGACUCCUAAUGUUAUUAAGAUCUGAGUUGCACGCAAAGCAAAUCCAAAUCCAGCAUUUUUAGAUGGUUUUUGUUAAGGCAUGACAGAUGAUUUACACAAAUAAAUAGCAUGCAAAAAACAAAAAAAGGUAAAAAAAAAAAGUCCUUACAGAAAAAAGCAAAAGUUACUUAUGCCACAUUGACACAUCAGUCUUAAAGUAAUAAAGUUAGCUAAUCUGAAGAUUAUUUUAUUCUUACCAAAAAUAGAACGUGGUUUUUUUUAUUAUUCUUUUGUAUAUAGCAGUUCAUUAAUUUUUUUUUACGUUUCUAUCCCUCCACAGUAUAAAAGGCAUAAAAAUGGGUUAGGGGUGCAUUGCUUAUUGCAGUACUUAUGUCAGUUUGUGAGGGGUGUUUGAUGACUUUGACAGAAUAAAUAUCUAACCAAUUAUCCUUGUUACUGCUUUGCCAGUUCAACGUUAUUUAGUUAUUCAGCUCUUGCAAUAAAUGUUCUGAAUUCCUGAUUGUGUUGUGUUAGUUCUUGGGCAGAAGCCUAAGGGACUUUAUUCUUGUUAAUUUCUCUUUUCUUUCUGUUGUUGUUGGUUUUUUGUCUCUUUGUUUCAUUCUGGAUUUCCAGUUAUUUUUCUAUGCAUAUCAUGGUCCAUUUGGUUCAUUUAGAUAUGUAUAAAAAUGGAAUAUACAACAAAUGAUAAAUCCUGAGGGCCAUAUUCUGUCAUUCCUAUGGUAAGUAGGAACUUAUUCAAAAUGAGUUAUUUGAAAUAAGUGUUACAUACCCAGCACAAAGGUGACAGAAUCUAGCUCAGAUUUGUUAGGCAUACUUAAGCACAUGUGAUAAGCAUCCUUGCAUGAGUCUUUGUUACAGUGCUGUGGUAGCAUAUAGGAAAGUCAGCACUUACCACACCUCAGUCUUUCUUUUGAGCGUAGAAUAGUCAUAUCAAAAUACAGUAAAUACUUCCUUACAAGCAAAAAAUUGUGUGGUUAUAUAAUCACUUUUCUUGCAGCACAGUAAAAAAAAAAGAAGAAAAAAAAAGGCAAACAACCUUGAAAAAGAUGAAUCAAUAAAAGUAACCUAUUUUUGAACGUGCUGAGUUUUAAAGCAGAGAUCCCCUGAUUUCUGUAUUAAAACCAGAAAUGCAAUAAUUAUUUGAAAACCCCAAUAGCACCAACGAUUUUAAAUUAUAAGUGCCUUUCUAAACAGAAUAUGCUUGAAAUAAUUUCUAUCAUGGAUAAAAAGUAAAUAAUGUGACUAUUGCUACAGAGGGAGAACUAUAUUCUAUUCCAACCUUCAGUAUUUUGUGCUGCCACCAACCUGUGCAGGAGAAACACAAACAAAUAUGAUCUAAAUUUCUAGCAAGUGAAACUUCUCUCAUAAAAUUUUCUUAAAUUCUGUGUAAUUUUAGAUUCUUAAGGCCUCACCCUACUUUUAAUUAUUUAUCAAAAAAAGGCAGAAAGAAAAGAAUUCAACAAGAAAAUAAAAGAAAAUAAAAGAAAAUAGGAUAAAUAAGAAAGAGAAAGAAAAGAAAAAAUAGGAGAAAGAAAAUAAAAGAAAGAGAGCGGGAAGGAAGGAAGGAAGAAAAUAAACAUUUGCAGUACUGAGACCAGUAUCUUAAACCCAUUUAAGCCAAAGGAAUGUAAUGUUUUCCAGAGGUUUCUAUGGAAACUGGAUUUGGACCUAAAUAUGUAUACAGUAUGUUUCCAUUCAUUCAUAACCAUUUGAUUUGCUUCAUCACUAAUACUACUGCUGUUGCCUAAACUGCACAAGUUAAGAAAAGAAAAAGAAAACAAAGGGGGAAAAAAGAAAAAAAGUUAAAUCCUGACAGGAAUUCAGAUGAGGAGCUUAAAAAAAAAAAAAUACUUACAAAUCUCACUGCACAGAAUGAGAAGACAACUGAAUAUUGGUGACAAUAUUUAAGUUUACUAGCUGUCAGGCUAGAAGUUACUUAAAAUUAUUGGUAACCUGGCAUGACAUGGAUGCCUCUUAGAUGGCAGUUCUAGCUUUUUUCUUCAGCUAGGAAGAUUGGAUAUUCUUUGUGUACUUAAUUCGUAAUGCACACAGUUGAAAGACUGCUAAAAAGAUGCAUCAAUGAUUUUUUCAGUAGUCUUUUUUGUUUUCUGUCGCUGACCAAACCCCUUCGCCCAAAUAGAAAAUGGAAAGCAUGCAUAUAUAUAUAUAUCGGUAUUUAGUCUCAUUUAAUCCUAUGCAGUACCAACUCUUUCUAAAGAUAGAUGAGUCAGGACCUCUUUCUCAAGGAACUCUCUGGAGGCAGUCUAAGAAAUACAUGGAGCAGAAUUAAGGAGGAUGCAGAAAUACACAUCAAUUUUAACAGAGAUGAAAACUAUAUUAACAAUACUUGUUUAAUAUGGUUAUUACCUUUUAGCAAGUUAUUAAUAGGAAUCAGGAUCAGAAAUCAUCUUAAGCAUGGAGUACACUAAACUUUAAUGGAGAAACUCAGGAAACUUUGGAUACAUGUAUGGCAUAAGAGCAGGAGAUGUAUUUCUAUGUGAGAGGAAAGAACAGGAGUGAUAAAGGCUGAUGUAGCUGACAUGGUAAAACAAAGAAAUAGGGAAAAGACGAUCACAACAUUGAUGAGAAGUUUAAUCUUGGGAUGUGAAAAAAGAGAGGCACUAGUACCUUUAACAAAAGAGGACGCUGUGAAAAUCAUGGGACGUGGCAGUAGGUGAUGUCAGGGAUCCAUGAGCCUCAUGACAUGACAAAAAGCAUAGGGGUAGGAUCUAAUAGCCUUGGGCAGUAGUGUCUGAUACCUCAAAAUAAGUUACAAAACUAUCGCUGCUUGCAGGAGAGCACAGCAGUGGUGUCAUAUCCAGCUCAGACAGAAGAACAAGUGCUGUGAUGACUGAUUUCUUGUGCUCCACAGCACAUGUGCCAAUUCAGACAGCGAAAGCAACUAAGUACUCACGACGUUACCUCUGAAUGCUCAGUUCUUUCCUUUUUAGUACACUUCUUCAGCAGAAUUGUGUUCCAAAGUCUCAACUUUAUUUAAUUUAUAUGCUUGCAGGCCUUGCUGCUGUGAUGAAAAACUUCACAAUGGAAACCAAUUCUAGAGCAGAGCAAGGCAUUUUACUGUACAGAAAACAUGAUACAAUAUCACCCAGAGGUGUGAAUCAGCUCAGUAUAUCAUGGACAGUAAAGCUCUAACUCAAUUAAUAUUCGUUUUAUUAACUUUCACUGCUGAUCACUUUAGUGGACACAUCCAUCAAACCCAUAAUCCAAAACCACCCUUGACUUUUCCUCUUGUUCCAGAAAAGCUCUCAAUGGUAGAUGCUUCCUUGUAAAAUUAUAAGAUAUCCUUUUUCACACAUUACUUGAGUGGAGUGACUUUUUCCAGUUUGGCUUCUCCAAAAUACACCUUAUAUAAUACAGCUGAUUUGUAUUAUAAACUGUUUUUCUCGUGAAAGCCCAUUCUAUACUUUGUUUUCAACCAGUUAGGCAUAGUAAGAUUGUAACACAGAGGGACAUACUCUAAUCCUUCAGGCUUUGUUGAACUUCUUAGGAGGCAAAAUAUCAGGACCUUUCCCAUAAUUAGUAAUAGGAAUAGCAAGUGCUUUAUUAUGCAGUGGACUAGCAAAUGAUUGAGAAGUAACAAAUUUAUCAUUUCCAGGUUUUUACAAUACAAUGUAGUUUAUAAACUGAAAUUAAUGCUAACAAAUGCAUUUUUUUAAUUGACGUAGACACAUCACUUCACUGGACAGUAAUAGAACUUACGUGCUGAUAUGUAUCCUCAUCCUGACAAAAUACUGUGCAGCUCUUUUGAAACAGAGUACAUCUAAUUUCUUUAGAACACAGCAGUAAGCAUCCUCUUCUAGAAGCAGCUUAGCAUUUCACAGGACUGGGUCCACAAUGAGAAGAAUAUCAGAGACAUGCAUGUCAUAUGCUAUGUUUUGAAGCCAGAAUGCUUCCUCUAACUGAAGCAUCUCAUGGCUCUAACUACAGCUUUAAGCUUAUACUGCUACUUAAUUGUACAAUAAUAAAAGUAUGUCUUUAACUACCAGAAAGGAUCUAAAAUUUCACUGUAAAUUAUGAAAAGAAAGAACUGAAAUAAUGUCCCUCAUUUUCAAAAAUAAGUUGUUUUUAUUUUUACCACAGCCAUUCUUAAAUCCACCUGUUGUGCCUAGGUAUUGCAACACAUUCUAAUAUUGCAUGGCAUGUAAAUAGAUACCUUAAUUACUCAUAAUGAUAUGAUUAUAUACACAUAUAUAUAGAGAGAUUAUAUAUAUAUAUAUAUAUAUAUACUCACUUAAAUAUUACCAAUCACAUACUUACUCAGUAUUAUUUAAUGGAAUUUUGGGACUAUGGAUUUUGUUGUUUGAUGUACUUUAAAUUGUAUGACGCAGCAUAUUCUUAAGACUACCCUCACCAAUGCUUUUGAUUAUUUAUUCAUUAAAUAAAGUGCUUUCUUCUGCUUGUUAUACUGUUUGUACAACCAUGUGAUAAUGUUAAAAUGGGUAAGUACUGUAUGGGAAUUAUAACUGUUUCUUUUCUUGUCUAAAUAUAUACCUAUAACAAUAUUUAUUAGUGAUCUGAGUUUUAAGAA